ensembl:misc_RNA Metazoa_SRP Metazoan signal recognition particle RNA
GCUGGGCAUGGUGGCGCAUGCCUGUAAUCCCAGCUACUUGGGAGGCUGAGGCAGAAGAAUCGCUUGAACCCAGGAGGUGGGGGUUGCAGUGAGCUGAGAUCGCGUCAUUGCACUCCAGCCUGGGCAAUAAGAGUGAGACUCCGUCUCAA